ACAGAGUCAAAAUAUAGAAGUAUUGACUUAACAGUAGCUGAAUUAGUUUGAAUAUUUGGUCUGCUCAAAGACAUAGGAGUGGUGCUUGAGUUGCUUGUUACUAUCUACAAUGAUAGUAAGGCAGCUAUUCAAAUAGCAGCCAAACAUUUCAUCCAUAAGAGGACCAACACUACAACAAAAAGGUUUAUUGCAGCAAUCUAUUAGCGACAAUAAAACAAAGGCCACUAAAUCAUUUCAUAAACUCAAAUGUUAGCGGCAGAUGAGCAUUGGCCGAUAUUAAGUACCCUUUUACUGGCAGUAAAAAUAGCCACUGAAACUCACUAAUGUAAAGAAAGUUUUACUACUUAUUAUUUUAAUCUUUUCCCUCCAAAUAACUUUUCACUAAAAACUUAUUCCCUCUGUUCUGUAGAUCUAGGUUCCUAAAUUUUAGAAAUUAUUUUUGAAAUGACAAACACUUCUUAUCACAACUACCCCUAUCACCGAUGCUUCGUGUCUUCUCUGUCCCACCGUCAGUGGCUACCAAUCCCAGGUUCAAAUUAAAAAGAUUAUGCAAGCUGACGGGGAUUUGCAGAAGAUUGUCAUGGUUGUCCCUCUUUUAGCCUGUCAUACAUCUUGAUAUUCAGGAAUUUGGUAUUUGCUAUUAUGGACACGUCAUACAUUUUGAUAUUCAGGAAUUUGAUAUAUGGCAACCUUCAUUAUGAUCAAGGGCACGCGAAUUUCGUAGGGCUUAUAGCCAUUUGAUAACAAAGUUAUCAAAAGCUUACACUAGGAAUUAGAUUCAAAUAGUUUAGCUUCUUUAUCAUAUUGUCGACAUUUUGAACUUGUGAAUUAGUAAUUGUUUUUGUUUGAUGUAAAUUGAAUGAAGUGCAUUAUUCAUUUUGAAAUGGAUUAUUA